UUACGACCACAUCAUGUUUAAAACACCGGUUCCCAUACGAUCACCAAAGUUAAGCAAUGUCAAGCCUGAUCAGUAACUAGAGGUGUGACCGCUUGGGAAUAUCAAGUGCU